ensembl:lncRNA
UGAGGCUAUUGUAUUUCAUUCAAUAGCCCAUAUGUAGAUUUGUUGUGAAGGAUAAAAUGUUCCCUCUUCAAACACCAACAAUAGGAGCGCAGUGUACCGCUGACCUUGUGCGUCGCCGUGCUGUGUGCAGGUAACAAUGCGAGCACAGGCUGUAGGCUCUCAGAACACACAACUGCUUGGCUUGAAUAGCAGGGAAUUCUUCCACUGCACAUGUGCCGAUAUUUGCCUGCGUAUGGGGUACAAUUAGUCACAGUUCUUGAAGGUUUGAAUGAAUGCCUCUGAUUUCUAACUGUCCUGGAGAAAAAAAAAAAAAAAGUUAUUCUUAAUUUGCCAUGCAUGAAUAUUUAGGUUUAAAAUAUUUUGAAACCAAAGGCUCCCACUGCUCUUUGUGUAUGGGCCCACGUGCUUCCAGCAUCGACUGUGUUGUAAAGUCUGUGGGCUUCCUUCUCUCCCCCAGGAGCAGUUGUAUUUCUAAAUGGGAACAGUCGGCAUCCACGCAGCCUUUUAAAUCUAGUGUUUCUAGUUAUGGGUGAUGUGAGUGUUGCUGAUAACCUGUAAAACGUUUUCAUAACACAUGAGAUGCAAAAAGAUUAGCUGAACUUAGGAAGGUGUUUAUUCCAUCCUGUUGGUACGUGGACGGAGCGCUGUAGCAGAAAUGCUAAGUCAUGGCUUGAAGCAGUGAUGGAGCACCUGGUGGGAAGGCAGGGCCAACCCAGGGGAGCUCAGCUGCAUGCAGUGCACCUGAGUGACCAGAAGGGGUGGAGCCAGGAUCCACCCUUCCCAGACCUCAUGUAAGGGUUGGUAAGUGGAGGGGAGAGUAUCUUGCUGGGGAUCUCUGUGUACCUGAGGCUUUCUGAAGGUAAUCAGAUUUUCUUCCUUUGUUUCUGCAUCCAUGGCUGCUGCAAUUGGACUUGUCCUCAUUUGCUGCAGCCUGGGAUUGUGCCAUGCUGUUAUUACUGCUGCACUUUCCAUCACAUUACAGUAUUACAAGUGCACUAAUAGAGAUGUUCUCCAGUGGGAUGGGAUUCCCCCUCAUUGCAUUAACCAUCUGAGAGAUAAACUUGACCUGUGUUACUGUGUCCAUCCUUUGGGUAUGCUGGAGAAAUCACUCCAGCUCUGUUCAACACCUGGGGCUGCACGUGGACUUCUAAUUAGAUCAAACCGCUGAUGAGAGAUUCGUGUCGAAUUAGCCCAAACAGUUCCAGAAAUCAUCUCUCUGAGGAGUCCAGCAGGCACACUGGGGAGGAUAGUGCUAAAGUUCUUUGGGAAACUGUUCUUUUCAAAGGACUAAAUGAGGAGCUCCCACUGUUUAGUCCCAACAGAUGAUUCUGGUUUUUGAAGAGGACUGAACGCAUUGAUGGGGCUUUCAGCGGAGCCCCUUUCAUGUGAGCACAAAAGGCUCUUUGUAGACCAUGUCAAUACAGUUGUGACUCAGAUGGCCACUGCGGUUGUAAUGUUGUCAGGCAUGUCUCUGGGCAGAAUGGUGUCUUCAUAGCAAGACCGUGUAAUGCCAUCGUUUGCACUGUAAUUUUGAAAUGGAAGCUUCUGGCAAAUGCACCAGCAGGAGCACAGGGGGGUUCGGUGUAAAAGGGUCAAAAUUCAGCUGGAUUACAAAAGCACAAUAGCCAGGACAUUAAAUGUACUUAUUGUUAUUGAACAAGGGGAUUGUGUGUGCGUGUACAUGUAGAAGGAGUGGUUUUUGUGAGAUUUCCCUCAAAAAGGCUGAUACAAGGAGACCCCUGGAGGAUGAACAUAUCCUUUUGGCUUGCCCCUAAACCUGACUAAUUACCCAGCGCCCAAGGCCCAACGCUAAGGGCAAAAAGCCCAGUAGGUCAGGUGAGAGCCCAGCACAAGUAUGCCUAUGGCCAUGGAGAAUGGCUUGCACUCCUAUUCCUGUUUAGAUGCCCACAGAUUUACUGCAGGCUGUGCACGAGGCUAAGGACAGGUUUGGAAGCCAGAUCUGUACUUAAUGGGAAGCUGGGCCAAGAUGCCGAGCAUUUGCCAAACAGCCCUUUGGCCGCUAUGUAAAUCCAUACCCACUGCAAAGUGAAUAAAGCGUUGAGGGAAAAACGAUGCUGGCUUGCA